rnacentral:tRNA from 1 species
GUAUUUUGGUGUAUGAUGCACGGUGAAUUUUGAGUUCUUAGGUAAUAGUUUAAUUCUAUUAAAUACAAU